UACAGAGGUCCCAAGCGUUGUUCGGAUUCAUUGGGCGUAAAGGGUGCGUAGGCGGCGCGGUAAGUCGGGUGUGAAAUCCCGGGGCUCAACCCCGGGUCUGCAUCCGAUACUCCCGGGCUGGAGGCAGGUAGGGGAGAUCGGAAUUCCUGGUGUAGCGGUGAAAUGCGCAGAUAUCAGGAGGAACACCGGUGGCGAAGGCGGAUCUCUGGGCCUUACCUGACGCUCAGGUGCGAAAGCUAGGGGAGCGAACAGG
rnacentral:rRNA from 1 species